CAGACUUACCUUUUUCACUUUUUUCACAUCAUCCUCCAUUUCUAUGUAAAGGUCCUCUUCUUCAUAUUCAGCUCAGCAUGGAGGUCCAGGACAAGAAUAUGAACAGAUAAUCAAGACAGCACCAGUGAGAGAGAGAAAAACAUGUAUAGAGACAGCAAGAGGAAAGUGAAAACGAGACCAAUCACUCACAGGUUUGGCUGUGCAUGAGUGCCAACCAAAGAAAGUUAAGUUCUGCACAUGUACAGUAACUACAGUGGUAUUUAUUUACUUUUAAACUGUGUUAACUUCGUCUGUUUUCCUUUUUCAUACCUUUGUAUAAAGCACAUGAAGGGUUAUGUGUCUGCUUGUUGUUUGCAGUACUUUGCUAAGAAGGUUUGGCUUUUUAGGUCAGUCAUGAUGGGCUUCUUUAUCGUAAGGAUUAAAUGUUAAACUAUCUGGUCUGAAUUUGUCAUAUUAAAGAUCUGCAUUCAACUAUAACAAUACACUUUCACAAAUCCACUGCAACUAGUGAUACAAGUGGACAUCAAUGCAGAUGCAAAAGUAAUAAAUUUGGUAAUCCUA